rnacentral:tRNA from 1 species
UAGGUAGAUGCUCGCUGGAUAGAGCGCUUAGCUGUUAACUAAGAGUUUGUAGGAUCAAGGCCUUCCCACCUAG